CUUACUCACCGUUCCCCAUUGGUUUAGAUGAUAACAGAAGAAACAGGACACUAUAAAAACCUUAUUUUGCACCACAGAAAGCAAGAUGUGAAGGCAGUCAGGUUUGAUAACAGUGCGCACUGUUUUUGCAGUAUCUUUCAUCACGAGGCUCUCACAUCAUGUGCUCUGAGCUCAUGUAACACACUCUGCUGGAAUGCCCCCAUUCAAGAGGGGAGAGAGUCCGUGACAGUCCUCCCUGCACUCACUGUGCUAGCAAAGAUGUCCGGGAAGGACAGAAAAGAAUGUAAUGUGCAAUUAAAACAAGGGAGAGUGAUUAAUGUAGGCAAAAAUUAAUCACAAGGGCAGUGUCAAAGUUUGGUGGGACAACUGCGUGUUCAGAAGACACCUGAAAAAAGUGAAAUGAAGAACCAAGGAUCAUCUGAGCAAAGACUCAAGGACCAUUUGAACAAAGACAUCCACAUCUAUACCACAGAUGACUUGGCAUCUAUGGAGGAGUGGAGGACAAGGCUGUUCUCUGAAGUUCCCUUACCCACCUAGAAACCAGAUCCCCAAAGAGGAACACUACGGCCUGCAAUUGCACCCUGCCAUCCACCAGCUCAAGACUGAGGAAUGCAACCAUACCCAGACAGACUUUUUCACAAGACAAUUUCUGCCUCUGGAGCGUGUUCAAAUUCUAAAGAGCAUCAUUUACAAGUAAAUUGCUGUCUCAGGGAAAUAUUCAUUUUCCCUGAAAAUCAUUUACUCCUACACCCCCAAUACCUUCUCACCAAUAAAUAAAGCAUUUAAGGAUCAACCAUCUGGCCAUUUUCUUGAGUUUUCAUAUUUUGUAUGACUCCCA
rnacentral:lncRNA from 1 species